GUGCAUUGAAGAACAAGAGCCUGCGGCGGUUUUGGGCGCACUGUUCUAAUUUUACAUAAGGCAUGUAGAGCGAGUUAAAUGCGUCUUUAUGUGAUCUUUUAUUUUUGCAUGACUUAGACGUUUCCGUUCUGUUUUCAUACCGGAUGUCCGCAAGAGGCCCUACCGUAAACCGCUGCUGCGGUUAAGCAAUUUGCCAGAUUUGGUAUGACUGUUGUCGAUGUCGGUCCUUUCGUAUGCGCAGGAACUCUGGCUACAACGCGCUCCUCACUGUCGCCAGGCAACGCACCCCUUCCGAGCAGAAGCAAAAGACCGAGUGGACUCCGAGCAUCCGCGUGGUUGGGCUCUUCGUCGACUCCGUCUAUUACACUCCGGCGCACGAAAAUAUGGGUCAAGGUGCUCCAAGGUGCUCGAAUUCGCCGAGAAGCUCAAGGUGGGGAAGAACCACUCCCAUUUCCCGGCUCUGACGCAAGAUUAGUGACGCGCCAUUGUGGACACGUUCUGCGCCAUUGUGAAGUGGAUAUCCACCGACGACACCGAGAGGAAGUCUUAACUCAACAAGGUCCUGGCGCUCGUGUGGUUUGCACCGUGUACCAUCACCCACCACGAACCGAUGCGCCCAGAUCACCGCACCAUCAGUCGCCAAAAACACGACAUCGCAGAACUGGUGGGUCUGCCUCUGACCCUACUCUCUGGGAAUGGCGCUGGCCGAUGUGGCCAGACCUUGGCCCCGUCGGCCGCCCGGAAAGCGACAUCGCAGAAAUGGCGGGUCUGGCUCUUGCCCUGCAGUCCGGGUAUGGCGCCUGCUGGUGGCCCCAGAUCUCGGCGCCAUCGGCCACCCGGAAAGCGACAUCGCAGAACUGGCGGGUCUGGCUCUUGCCCUGCAGUCCGGGUAUGGCGCCUGCUGGUGUGCCCAGACCUCGGCGCCGUCGGCCACCCGGAAAGCGACAUCGCAGAAAUGGCGGGUCUGCCUCUUGCCCUGCAGUCCGGGUAUGGCGCCUGCUGGUGUGCCCAGACCUCGGCGCCGUCGGCCACCCGGAAAGCGACAUCGCAGAA